rnacentral:rRNA from 1 species
CCGCGGGGGCCAUGCAGGGAUAGGACGACAGGGGAGUGCGGGGAGCUGGCCACCUGCGCGACGAGCGGCGGGCGGUGGUGAUGUCUGGGGGCAACUGCCUGCGGGAGGGGGAUCACUCCGGAAGACUUUCGCUAAUACCGUAUUCCGCCCUAAUAACAAAGGGGGGGAUCUUUUGCCUCUUGCUUAGCUAUGUAGCCAUAUGGGAUUAGCUAGUGGGUGGGGUAACGGCUCACCUAGGCCACUAUCCCUAGCUGGUCUGAGAGGAUGACCACCCACACUGGAACUGACACACGGUCCACACUCCUACGGGAGGCAGCAGUGGGGAAUAUUGCACAGUGGGCGCAAGCCUGAUGCACCCAUGCCGCGUGUAUGAAGAAGGCCUUCGGGUUGUAAAGUACUUUCAGCGAGGAAGAAGGCGGUGAGGUUAAUACCCUCCUCGAUUGACGUUACUCGCAAAAAAAGCACCGGCUAACUCCGUGCCAGCAGCCGCGGUAAUACGGAGGGUGCAAGCGUUAAUCGGAAUUACUGGGCGUAAAGCGCACGCGCGCGGUCUGUCAAGUCAGAUGUGAAAUCCCCGGGCUCAACCUGGGAACUGCUUUCGAAACUGGCGGGCUAGAGUCUUGUAGAGGGGGGUAGAAUUCCGUGUGUAGCGGUGAUGUGCGUAGAGAUCUGGAAGAAUACCGGUGGCGAACGCGGCCCCCUGGACAAACACUGACUCUCAUGUGCGAAAGCGUGGGGAGCAAACGAGAUUAUAUACCCUGGUAGUCCACGCCGUACACUAUGUCCACUUGGGGGGUUGUUCUCUUGAAGAGUGUCUUCCAGAUCUCACGCGUUAAGUCCACCCCCCUGGAGAGUACGGGCCGCGGGGUUAACACUCAUAUGAAGUGACGGGGCGCCGCGCACACGCGGUGGAGCAUGUGGUUUUUUUUCUAUACACGCAGAAGAACCCUUACCCUACUCUUGACCUCCAGAGAUCUUAGCAGAGAUGCUUUUGUGCUCUUCGGGCACUCUGACACAUGUGCUGCGUGGCUGUCGUCAGCUCGUGUGAGAAAUGGUGGGGAUAAGUCCACAACGAGCGCACUAUACUCCAUUGUUGCCAGGUGUGAGGCCGGGAUACUCAAAGGACACUGCCAGUGAUAAUCUGAGAAAGUGUGAUGACUACGAGUCAUCAGUGCUCUCUCACGAGUGGGCUCACACGAC